UACGGAGGGGGCUAGCGUUAUUCGGAAUUACUGGGCGUAAAGCGCACGUAGGCGGAUUGGAAAGUCAGAGGUGAAAUCCCAGAGCUCAACUUUGGAACUGCCUUUGAAACUUCCAGUCUUGAGGUCGAGAGAGGUAAGUGGAAUUCCGAGUGUAGAGGUGAAAUUCGUAGAUAUUCGGAAGAACACCAGUGGCGAAGGCGGCUAACUGGACCAUUCUGACGCUGAGGGACGAAAGCGUGGGGAGCAAACAGG
rnacentral:rRNA from 1 species